rnacentral:lncRNA from 1 species
GAAAUGUAAAAGCCAUUAAUCCUCAAAUGUCUACUCAACAGAGGAAGAGGAUUUUCAAGGUGAAUAAUGUUAAAGACCCUGUCAGCUGAUUUCGUUGCAGGAGCCAUUCGUAAACAGGAAAGCAUGCCACUGCUGUGAGGGUCAACAUGAAGUCUCUGAGCACAUCCCAAUUGCAUACCCCAAAGCCACUGAUUCAACAGAUUGAUCCACCCGUGACUGGAACUGAUGACCUGGGCUUUCGUUUCUGGGGACUGCUCUGAGUGUAAAACAGCCUGACUUGGACUGUCCCCGAAGACCUCCCUUACAAUUUAUCUGCUUCGGAUCCACUUUUUAAUUCCUCUCUGCUGGAAUCCCGGGUC